GGGCCCGGUGUUGACUACGGGGGUUUUUAUUCUCCCAGAAUGAGGAUGAUGACGACGACGAGGAUGACGACGAGGAUGACGAUGAGGAUGAAGACAACGAGUCUGAGGGCAGUAGCUCCAGCUCCUCAUCUUCAGGGGACUCCUCAGAUUCUGACUCCAAUUGAGGCUCCGCCUCCACCCCAGGCAGGCGGGCAGGCAGGCAGCCAAGGAGAGCCGCUGCAGAGCUUACCUCCCCAACUGACCACCUUUGUCUCCCCCUAUGUUCUGUCCCCUGUCCCCCCCAGACUCCCCCACUUUCUUUCUUUCCUUUAAAAAAAAAAUUCAGUGGGGUAGGAGGCUGCGUGAGCCCAGGCUAGGACUCUGCAGCCUUGGAGCGUCAGC
rnacentral:lncRNA from 1 species